AUUUAGGGAUAAUAGCUUUUUGUUUUUGUUUUUGUUUUUGUUUUGUUUUUCGAGACAGGGUUUCUCUGUAUAGCCCUGGCUGUCCUGGAACUCACUUUGUAGACCAGGCUGUCCUCGAUCUCAGAAAUCCGCCUGCCUCUGCCUCCCGAGUGCUGGGACUAAAGGUGUGCGCCACCACACCUGGCUGAUAAUAGCUUUUCUUAUGUGAUUCAUCUAUGACAGUAAAUACAAAAAUGCAUGUUUUACAAUCUAAUCAAUCAUACCCAUUUGUUCUUUUGUAAUUAGGAACAGUCAUUAUGUUUGGGGGAACCAAAGAUGGUAACAGAUGCUGUAGUUAGGAACAGUCAUGUUUUAGGGAAUAGAAGCCAUGGUUAGGUUGAUAUGCUGUGGAUGUGUAUACAUUAUUUGAUGUUCAUUGCUUCUUUAUGUUCAUAUCAGUUACCAUUUGAAAGUUCCCCUUAAAGUACUGUCUUCUAAGGGAAUCAUCCCAAGAUGGUAAUGUAGCAGCAAAGAUAAUAUAACAGCAAUGAGAUUUAUUAAUUUUUUCUGUUGUUUGUGUGUAAUGCGAUUAUUGGCUCAGGUUGCCAACUUUGCAUACCACAGAAAUUUUCCACUGAGCCGACUCACUGAGGUUCAAAUAAGAUUAAUUGAAACAUUUCAUCUCUAAAAUAUUGUCUUCUUUUCAAAUUGUAAACAUAUUGUCAUCUAAGGAUCGAGGAAAACAGGAUGCUUUUAGUAAUAAAUUCUAUUUGC
rnacentral:lncRNA from 1 species